rnacentral:rRNA from 1 species
UAGGGAAUAUCGGACAAUGGGCGAAAGCCUGAUCCAGCCAUGCCGCGUGAGUGAUGAAGGCCCUAGGGUUGUAAAGCUCUUUCGCCGGUGAAGAUAAUGACGGUAACCGGAGAAGAAGCCCCGGCUAACUUCGUGCCAGCAGCCGCGGUAAUACGAAGGGGGCUAGCGUUGUUCGGAAUUACUGGGCGUAAAGCGCACGUAGGCGGACUACUAAGUCAGGGGUGAAAUCCCGGGGCUCAACCCCGGAACUGCCUUUGAUACUGAUAGUCUCGAGUCCGGAAGAGGUGAGUGGAAUUCCGAGUGUAGAGGUGAAAUUCGUAGAUAUUCGGAGGAACACCAGUGGCGAAGGCGGCUCACUGGGCCGGUACUGACGCUGAGGUGCGAAAGCGUGGGGAGCAAACAG